GGUUGUUGGUGAGGUAAAAGCUCACCAAGCCUGCGAUCUGUAGCUGGUCUGAGAGGACGACCAGCCACACUGGAACUGAGACACGGUCCAGACUCCUACGGGAGGCAGCAGUGGGGAAUUUUGGACAAUGGACGCAAGUCUGAUCCAGCAAUGCCGCGUGCAGGACGAAGGCCUUCGG
rnacentral:rRNA from 1 species